rnacentral:lncRNA from 1 species
AUGAACGGAGGCCCUGCUGGUUCACUCAGUUCAGUUAACAUGGAGGCCUGCAGACGGUGCGUUCACUGCGCCCUCGUCGCGUCUCUGCUCCUGGGUUCGUCGCUCCAGCAGGACACGGAAGUCGGGAAGAACAUCAACCAGGACAUGGCCUUAAACAUAAAACACUACGUUGAAGAUUAUCACAAAUUCGUGAGCUCUUUGAACGUCCCAUCAGUCGAGUCAGACGCCAACGACCACCAGCAACGAGACCCGAGGGUCAGAAGGAGAAGAGUAAGGGACCUGACCUGGCGGGACCUGGACCUGAUUGUGGAGCGGGCCCCCGUGCCCCCGUACCAGAAGGGGCCCAUGGACGUGGUUCUGCCGCUGCUGCACGGCCUCCUGCUGGGCUUCGGAGGCACCUUCCUCGCGAGCGUCUCCAUCCUCCUCAUCCUCGCCCACGUGUCCCGCAGAGGGACGCGUGGACCCCCCGGGGUCACCGCCGGCUCCGGCUGCGAGCGGAUGGUUGGAGAUGCGGGCGACGGGGCGGCUCACGCGCCCUCGCACGCGCCUGUGAGCAGAACCAACGCGGUAGCGAGGCGGAAACCAGACCAUAACUAAUUGUGACAAACCUGAGCACAAUCCAGCCAUUUUCCACGCGCUUGUGUCCACGCCUCUGCUGUAAAGCGGGACCGACUGUUUCUGGUCCGUCGGUGCCUCGUCGCGCGACAGAUGCGCUGGAAUCGGGCCCUCGCGCCAAAGGUUGUUGUGGUGUUACAGUGAUAGCGAUGCCCCCCCCCCCCCCCCUCCUCCUCCUCCUCUAAGUGACGGCACCGUGCCCGCCUGGCAUCGAACAACAGCUAAUUAUCCAGGACUAAUAACCACGAGGCCGCUAGCAGACAAUGGAGCGCCCGGUCGCCACGGUAACAGACGACGCGUACGAAGUCUGGAGGACGCCGCUGAAACCGCCCGAUACCUGAUGAAGAGGGGCCGUGCAAAUAAAUAAAAAUGUCCACGUCA